rnacentral:lncRNA from 1 species
CAUCCAGGGAGGCCCCGUGCUCGUGCUCCUUUUCCUGGGUACACACUUCCGCCAGGCUCCCUCUAAAUGCGUCCAAUCUUCACGGCGUCCGAUCUCCCGUGUCGUUUCAGGGCCUGGCCUGGCCUGUCUCCUUAGCUGCCCACCCCUGACCUCCUGGCUGGUGCCUCUGGGUCAAAGCGUCUGGAAGACAGAGCUCCCCGCUGACGCCACAGGGCACCCCUCACUCCUCUCCUCACGUGCCCAGGAGCCCCAAAGGCAGCAUUAGGCCUCCCUGGCUUCCUCGGCUGUCCGCUGGGUUCUUCCCCCGCAGAUUAAGAGCUGCUUCCUCAAAUCUCAGCUGUUUUUACUGCAGGAAGAUGGUGGAAACACUUUCCAAUACUGCUGGAGAGCAGAGGGCUGAACCGCCAGCCACGCAGGCCCCGGCCCCGGCCCAGGAACAGGUAACCCUCAACCUCAAGCCCGCCCCUCCGCCCCGGGCCCCGCCCCUCCGCCCCACCCACGGCCCGCCCCCAGCUCCCAGCAAACCCUGCGCCGCCGCCGCGGUGGCAGGACUCCAGCUCCCGCCAUGCCGCGGGCCCAGGGUCCUGGAGUUCGGUAUCCCAGAAGACACCGCGCGCCUCGGGGGCCGCUCUAGCGCUCCGUCCGCCGCACUCGCCUGCGGAAAGGACGGGUCCCCCGAAGGUCCACGCGCGAUUUCCCGCUGGCUCCAGCACAGGGUUCACACCCUGUCACCCCUGGAUCUCGUCUUGAAGUACUUUGGCUGUCUUUGCGCGCUGGGGCAGGGGCUGGAGACCGAGACCCCGCCUCAGUGCUGAACGGCCUUGCCCCGGACUGGAGGCCAUGGACGCUUGCUGUAUGCCUGCACCAGUGGCGUCGCCCGAGACCAGAAUCGUGGACCGCGUGCUGGUGGUCUCCCCGCACCAGGGGUUUACAUCAGGCCUCGGGAGCUGCCUUGUGGCGCGAGGAACUGGGACCAGGUUGCCAAGGCUGGGGCCCUUUUGCUAGGGGCUGAGAUUAUGUUGCCAGGGCUGGGGUCCUGUUGCUACGGGUUGGGUCUGUUGCUAGGGACUGGGACUAUGUUGCCAGGGCUAGAAUCCCGUUGCUAGGGCCUGGGGUCAAUUACCAAGGCUGGGGUCCUCUUAUUAGGGCCUGGAUUUGCUUUGCCAAUGCGGGGGCCCUGUUGCUGGGGACUGGGAUGAUGUGGGUAAAUCUGGGUCCUGUUGCUAGAGCGCUAGGUCCUGGAGUGCCAAGGUGAGGGUUCUGUUGCUAGGGACUGGGAUUAUGAUGGUGGGGUGCUGUUAACUAAGGGCUGGAGUUGAUCUUUGCUGCUAGGGUUGGGUGAGUGCCCGGGGGGUGCAGCUGUCAAAGAACUUGAAUGCUUUCUUUAGGGUUUGGAGGGUAUUUCUGGUAACUGGCACAGUGGUGCUGGAAGGUCAGGGUCCUGUUUGACUUUUGGUUCUAAUGUCUUAGAGGCUAAGGGCAGUUGCUAGGGACAGGGGUCAUUCAUUAAUCCACAUUUAUUGAGUGCCUGCUAUAUGCCAACCAUUGUUGUAGGUUCCAGGUUACAGCAGAGCAUGUGCUGGGCAGACCCAUCCUUGAGGGAGGACCUUAGACCUUGUGUUGGCUUUCCAUUACUGUAACAGAGGCAUGAGACAAUCAGAUUCUUUUUUGUGUGUGUGUACUAGGGAUUGAACCCAGGGGUGCUUAACUGCUGAAUCACAUCUCCAGACCUUUUAAUUUUGAGAUAGGGUCUUGUUAAGUUGCUUAGGGCCUCACUAAAUUGCUGCGGCUGGUUUUGAACUCACCAUCCUCCUGCCUCAGCCUCAUGAACCGCUGGCAUUACAGGCGUGUGCCCCCACGCCCGGCUGUUUUGGGGGUCCCAUCCAUGCUAGUGGACUCUUGGGCUUUGGGCCUGUGGUCGGGCAGCACCUGCUGGUGGAGAGUGAAUGGUGGAGCAGGCUGCCCAGUUCAUGGCAGGAACAAGAGAGAGUGAGGAGGACGCUGAAGUCCCAUCCCCCAUUGGCCAAAAGACCUCCGCUAGGCCCAAAUCUUAGAGGUUCUGUCACCUCCCAGUAGUGCCAAGCUGGGCGCUAACCCUGUAAUACCCGGGCCUUUGGGGACAGCCAUGUUCCAAGCCCCAGCAGAGCCCCAGUGUCAUGAGCAGGCAGUGGUGAGCUGAGAAGGCUCAGCUGGUCCUCUGUGGCCCAAGCACAGAACCGCGGGGUGCAGUGGCAAGUUGCCAGUGCCCAUCAGCCUGGCCACUGAGCCCUGUGGAGGGCACAGCCAGCCUGCCCAGCUCCACCCCUGCAGCUGGCGUGGAAACCCAGAUUAGCCAAGGACUGCCGGGCGAAGGGAAGGACAGGGCAGGGCUGGUGACAUGGCGUGGGGCAGACCCGUGGUGGACGGGUCAUUGCCUAGGAAAGGGUGUGCACUGUGAGGGCGUAGUGAGGGGCUGGAGCUGACCCCAGAAGAGCAGAACGGCAGGAGGGCCCCAGGACGGGAGGAAGGCCUGGGUUGUGGAGGCCUUGGGCACAGCCCCGCUCAUCCCUGGGUCUUGGCACAUGAGGCCUUCCUUCCCUGGACCCCAGCGUCCUGGUUUGUGAAGUGGGGACCAUCGGUUAGGGCCUGGUGCCCAGCAGGCUGUGACAGCCAGUUGCUCUUGACCUUGCUGACAUGCCUGGGUGGUGGGGAGGAGCCCAGCAGGUUCUCUCUGUCCUCAGGGGAAGGACAGAACUCAGAGUCCACGGGAGACCCCAUUCAGAUCAUCCCUUCUGCCCCUGCCCCACUUUGCUUAAGCAAACCCCUGAAAGCCCCUUGUCUGCAGGGCUCUGAUACCCUGCCCCUCACCCCGCCUCACCCCAGGCACUGCCUCAGGGCCUUUGCAUGGGCUGUGCCCUCUGCCUGGGGCUCCCUCUUCUUUUCUGCAGUUAGAUAGCCUGAGGGCUCCUCCACUUCCUUCUCCUGGCUGCUAGACCUAAAAUCCCACCUCUGGCUCCAGAGGUGGGGGAGGGGCUGCAGCCCUCUGAUGGCUGCCAGGUGGGAGGGUGUGGAUUCUCCCUGGGGCCUCCGCAGCCACACCUGGAUCCAGCCCAGGGAGGCCCGCCAGGCUCCUCAUCCUCAGGCCCUCAAGCAAAUAAAUUGGUGUCUCUUAAAGCCACUCAGUUUGUGCCCUUUGGGACCAUAGCUGCCCCUGUGGCCACGCCCUCCAGGCCCAGGGCUUGGGGACUCCACCUCUCCACCUCUGGCGGCUCCUCCACAGGUUCAGCAACUGUGUCCCACAGCAGGAAAUGGGAGACCUGGUCCAGGCGCUUGUGUGGCCUGCUGCCUGGGCAGCUCUGUCUCCUGGCUGGGCCGCUGGGGCAGCCUGUCCAGUGGGGCUGUGCGGACCUUGGCCGCCUCCACACCUCCCUCACUGCCCCCGCAGGGCCGGGCAGUGUCUGUGGACCACGGGCUCCCGUGUGAACUGAGGAGGCCUGCCACAGUCUGGCUGGGCACAAAUGCCGCAGUCUGGCUGGGCACACAAUCACGAGCCACCACACAGCUUGUAGAUUCAAACAGCAACUCUUUAUUCCUGAACUCACACCAGCCGUCUACAAUCACGUUCUGGGGAAAUCCAACGUUCUCUGCCCAAAUCCACUCCCACUGGGCUUCUGUCUCCCAAAAUAUACUGUCUGAAUCCCGUGAGAACUCAAGGGGAACUCAGGCAGCAGGAUACGCCCUAUUCCCAGCAGGAAUAAUCUUAAACCUUAAACCUGGAACCUAAACUGGGAACGCCCUAAACACGAUUAUCUUAAAACCGGGAACACCCUAAUCUGCCUUGGUCCUUGAGCAAGGUCACCUACAUUCAAUGUCACUGCAACAUGUCAGCAACAUGGGGUACGCUGGCAAGGAAAUUGUCAUACCUACUUGGCUAAUGGCUCCCAGCAGAGGCCCCGGCUGCAGGGAGUGCAGGGCUCUGGGGAGGAAGGGCACCUCCACCCCUGGGCACCGCAGCCUGGGCCAGCAGCGGGCAGGGAGGGGACCACAGUCUGUGGGGCGCGGAGCUGGGGCCGCAGCCCCACAGCCACCUGGUGACCAUCCCACCUGCGCCCUCCUGGCACCUGUCUCUUAUACAC